rnacentral:tRNA from 2 species
GCGCCCGUAGCUCAGCUGGAUAGAGCAACGGAUUUCUAAUCCGUAGGUCGCAGGUUCGAGUCCUGCCGGGCGUG